rnacentral:rRNA from 1 species
AGAACGAACGCAGGCGGCAGGCUUAACACAUGCAAGUCGAACGCUCCGCAAGGAGAGUGGCAGACGGGUGAGUAACGCGUGGGAAUCUACCUAGUUCUACGGAACAACAGUUGGAAACGACUGCUAAUACCGUAUACGCCCUACGGGGGAAAGAUUUAUCGGAAUUAGAUGAGCCCGCGUAAGAUUAGCUAGUUGGUGGGGUAAUGGCCUACCAAGGCGACGAUCUUUAGCUGGUCUGAGAGGAUGAUCAGCCACACUGGGACUGAGACACGGCCCAGACUCCUACGGGAGGCAGCAGUGGGGAAUAUUGGACAAUGGGCGCAAGGCCUGAUCCAGCCACGCCGCGUGAGUGAUGGAAGCCGUUAGGGUUGUAAAGUCUCUUUCAGUGGGGAAGAUAAGUGACGGUACCACAGAAGAACGCCCGAUAACUUCGUGCCAGCAGCCG